AAGACUUAUCUCAGUGAAGCCCCUCAGAAGUCCAGCAUGUUGCCUUAAUGAUUUUAUGAUUCUAAAAUGAGCCUCUGAGAGGGCAAGGAGACCAGCUCCCCCGCAGCCCAGCACCUUCAAGAGUCUGCCCCAGCCAGAGCUUGUGCUCAUUCUGAGCACUCAGUAUUUUUAAUGCUGCAUCUCAACAGAAGAUAUAAGAGCACAGUCAAUCAGUCCUGC